CUUAGUCCAACCUUUCAUACAUUUCCUAAGAAAUGAGGUACUGGGGUAAACAUGGAAUUCAUACACAGAAUUCCUGUUAGAAUGAUAUGCCACUAAAGCAACAAAAAGCUAAAACGUAAUUAAAACAUCAAGUUACUGAGAUAUUACUAUAGCCUCUGGAGACAUCCCAAUGGCCAGAUGAAGUUAAAGAUAGAUGACAGAAGUCUUCACACAGCUGUCAACACUGGCAUGAAGAGGUACUGCCUAUGAACAGCACUGCCUAUGCUGAACAGGUAGCCACAGCUUGCGUUGAUUGAAAUGCUUCACCAGCUCUACUUAUUGUAAUCUGCAGAGUGUAUGGAGGACAGCAGGCAUCCAGCAUGCCCUUACAGCGCUUCCAAAACCUGCCACAAGGGUUGUCUCCACAGACAGGUGUUCUGCAGCAUGGUUCAGCGACAGCUACUGAAGAUGAGUCAGAACAGGGUGCCUAGCUUUGGAAUGCAGCCAUGGCAAGUUAGGAAAGUGAGAAUUACAAGGAGUUGAAUGUGUGGCAAAGGCAUAUAUACAUAAAAACAAACAAAACAAACAUCAGGAGAGUUACUGGAGAUACUAUUUCAGAUAAUUUUUUUUGGAGAAUUACUCUGGAAGACCAUAAUUUUCAGCUUACUGUAGUUAGAUGUAGCCCACUUGAAAUGUUCUGUAAGCAGACAGAAGUGACUACUGCUUAAGUAACCAUUCAACUGCUUAGCUAGGCAAAUGAUCUGAAUUCUAGACUACUAAAAUAAAAAUUAAGCUGUGUAAGCUUGAAUCAGUGAGCUGAAAGUACUUAGGCACAACUCACCCAUCUAAAGAUGCUGUCCUUUAGAUGCAGUUGCUUGUUCUACAGUAAUUCAAAUCAUUCAUUUUAAAAUGCAGAUGAGAACAAAAGCAUCUUAACGAGGCAGAUGGCAACGGGAGCAGCUGUAAGCAGCCCACUACUAACCUUUGUGAGCAGGCUAUGUGAGAGCAACUUUGUGCAGCUCCAACGUUAGUAAAACAUGGGGUGAAGUCAUAGCAGUGGUAAAGAGAUUUGGAGAUUUUUAGUUUUAGCUAACUGAAUAGUUAUGUAAUUUCCACUGCUUAAUGAUUAUGGCAAGAGAAACCUGUCACAAUUGACACUGCUGGUGUUCAGCUCUCUUGGAAAAAUCAGAACUGUAUGUAAUUGAAAAAAACAAAAAACCCUGGAUUUCUGCUGCUGAGAGACAAGUCUCCAUAGUAAAGCUUUGAGACAUCAGUAGGAGUGAUGAAAAAGCUUUAAUUGUACCUCUGAUCUCUCCGGUAUGCACCUGUUUUAUUACUUCAAAUGCAUCAAACAUCUGUUUCUUCCACUGCUGUUUCUAAAACCAAAAACUUCAGGAAAGGAUAGUGAUGGCAUCCCAGUCCCUAGAGCUCCUUCUUGGAUCCUCCACCAAGCAUAAAGAUGUGAUGUGGUUUCACAUCAGGUAAGCAUGUUCUGGAGGACAGCACAGAUAUAAAUUGCCCUGUCGAGAACAGAGCUGUGUUUGGAGACAGGAACUGUGCUACUGAGGUCUAUAGGACACGGAAGCUGAGGUGCUGUUGACAAGCACCUCUCAUUUCCUUGCAUCCCUGAACCCCACAGUGCUUUACCUCUGCUGCCUCACCGUAGCUACCAGUGCUGCACUGAAGCAAUGCUGCCGUGUCUCACUUUUUGAGGACUUGCAAGUGACCUACGUGGACCCACAGACCCAUAGUGACUGGCAGUUAAAGUCACUUACAGCCAGAAUUCUUGCCAGUAACCCGACUUACUUCUUGACAGUGACUCGUUAGAAUAGUAUGAAAAAGCUGUGAGAAAAAUGACUACUGGGAGUUUCUGUUUACCAGCCACUGACCUUUGUUUGGCUACUCCUUAUAGUUACUUAAACAUUGCUAAUAAUUCUAGUUAUGUGCUGAAUUCCUGGAGCUAACUUAUUUACAAGAUGAACUAUAGAUUGAGGUAUUUUGAGUUUGCAUUACUCCAUCAAUCUGACGGAAUGAUCUGAAGGCUGAUCAAACUUUUCUAGAAGUAGAAAACUAUUAGAAUAGUUCAGGAGAAGAACAUUCCAUAAGUAAAUUUAAUUCUGUUAAAAUGAUCUAAAAUAAUACUUGGCAAAAACUACAUAUUCUUCAUAAAGCAGUGACUUAAUUUCAAGUUGAACUCAACCCUGAUGCUGUUACCAACACCGGCAUGCUGUGUGCUGUGCCUGGACCAUGUCCUUACCUUAAACUUAGAUGAUACUUGAAACUCAACAGCACGGGAAAAUAUGAUAAGAACUUAACCUUGUAACUCCGCCUCUCUCCAGAGAGCAGGAAUUCAAACUUUCUUAAUGAAGUUCAAUUUAAUCUUAAGAUACUGAUAGCCACGUAUCAGUUCUUUUCCUUUGCAAAGAUAUUUGUUUGAACAACCCGCUGUCUGUACAUCAUUAGAAAAACCAACAGUGCUCUUCGUGCGUGAUAAAACAGAAAGGAAGAAUGUUAUCGCCCGGAGGUUCUGGAUUCCUUGUGUGUCAGUGUUUAUUUGAAAAAGCCAACGAUCAGAUCGGGCAGAGAUGAAAUGAGAACAUAUUAUUUGAAAAGAUUUUAAUGAACCUUGACAGUAAAUGUACAACAAUCUGCAAUGGCAAACAGGCUUUACCUGUAAGCCACGACAGCACAGCAAAACAAAUGCAGAAGCUCUACAGAAAAGAUUUUAAAAACUCCCAUUAGACAGCUACAGCUAUGCCCAAAUCUUCUAGGUAUUCAGUCUGAGCUGUAUCAGAUGUCGCAUUAUACGUCUCUAAAAUACAUUUGGCUACAGCUUAAGUCAUUUUUAGCCAUCGAAAUAAUGUUAGAAGUAAAGGUUUGAUAGCAUAAUGAUCAUAAGCAUUCAGUCAUCCUGCUUUUGCUAGGCUGACACCUAAUCCUCUGGAAAGAGGUCAAAACUCCGGGAUUAUUAUUUUGAUAAUUAAUGGCAUUCAAACUGACUUAAUGGUUGACUGUACUUACAAUACACAGAAGAGCCCUGGUUUACUAAGAAUGAUGGGAUAAAUCAUUAAAGUUUUAUCCUCGUGAUCUGCCAUCAGGACAUUGUGCUAUGCACACAGUUUGCUUCUAAUAAGAACUUUGAAAGGUAAAAAUACUCAAUAGCUUGAAUUUUUCUUUUACUGCCUGUGGUCCUUACACUAAUUCUCCAAAAGGGUACAGGGAAAUGACACAGAAAGUUCAGUAAGGUACAGACUGUUUGACUUUAACAAACUAUAGCGUUCUGUCUUCCAUUGAAUACUACUAUUGGAUUCCUGGUUAUCAUUCACAUAUUCUGUUUACCCUGAAAGAUGAUGCUUUGUUUCACACAGAGCUAUUUUGUAAUUUCAUUUCAUGCCUGUUUUCAUAUGUAAGGAGCUACUGAGCGUACUGUACUGUGAAAGGAAAAGUAGAGAGCAAAAAAUACAACAGCUUCAACCAACCUCUAACAUCCCCUCACAUCACCCGAGCACCAGAAGAAAAUGUGAAGUAUUUCUAUAUACUCAUUUAUAAACAAGCAAUGCUUAUGUUCAUUCCCCAGUGGUUGUUUUUAUGAGGUGUAAACUAAACACUGGUUAAGCCAGUUAUAGAUGUGCCACUGGACAACCAUUUAUACUGAUUUCUGGACAUUACUUAUUGUGGUGCUGCACCACUGGCUUACAACAAAAACUUUGCUCCUUGUACCUCUCCUAUGUAUAACCUGCAUCUAGAAUGUAAAUUUUUUAGUGGCAUGUAAAGAGAGAAUGAGAUGUGCAAGCAAGACAUGUUCAUAAGGAAGAUAUUCUUGUAGGAGAGAUGACAGCGACCAGCUUUUGCAACAACAGACACCAUAUUUUUCAAAAUAUUCUUUGUCACAUCUCUCCAUUUACGCAGCAUUCGUUACUGUAUUAUAUAAAUGACACAGCAGCAGUUUUAACACACCUUGCUGAAGUACCAUUUCCUUACAGACUGCUCCUUUUUGCUUCCCUUCCUCCAUAGCUUUGACUGCAGGUGCUGGCUCCAAGCCACGACAACAUCUCUCUUUUCACCCACCUAUCCCCACAGAGGAAAGCGUGGGCCAGUUCCGACCUCAGCCUGCAUCCUGCCCUGCUGGGCCUCUCAGAGGCAGCACCUGAGGAGCUCACUAGCAAGAGCCCAGCACGCGCUGCAAAGCUGCCUUCUUUCUCCUGUCUGCAGGUCCAGCUGAGGCCAAUGAGGUGGGAACUGCAGAUACUGAGGGAACGAAGAGACAGCAGGGGAGAAGCUGCAGGUGCAAGGGCAGAGCGAGCCUUGGGACAGAGCAGUGCAGGUGAAACGGGAACUAAGAACACUGUGGUGAAAACAGGGCUGCUGUACGGGACCGUGGGGAAAUGACCCUGCUGAGGGAGUGGGUGAAAGGAGAGAGAAGGCACGCUCAGGUGCUGGGCUUUAUUGCUUCUACUGUGCAUCAAGUAACAUGAGUUUUUCUUUCCUUAGCAAGAGUGAUAUCAUACAGUAACUACGUUCUUCAUUGUUUCCUAAGGAAGCAGCAGAAGGACAUCCUAAAGCUCUUCAUUGUUUCCUAAUGAUGCGCUUUAGGAUGUCCUUUAAUGAAGACUACGCUGCAGAAGGCAGAAAAACAAGCUUGGAUGUUUCUCUAACCUGGAAUAAGAGCAUUCGGCAGGACAGUCUUCUUCCAACAUUAACUUCUGUUGUGUGGGAGGUGCUUAACCUGGCUCUGUACCACCGCACCUCGGACAGAACCCACGGGACUGCACACACCUCUUCUGCACUCCUUCCCUGCGCACCGCACUGUCAAGCCGGGUUCUGAACCAGACGGGUCCGAGGUCUCACCCGGCAGAGCGCACGCUGUCAUCCGUGCUAUUUCUCGGUGAACAAAGAGGAAAGCCAUCUAAGCGGGGAGCACGCUCUGAGCCGGCUGGUGCUGGCACAGCCCCCCGGCCCGGCGCUACCUGCAGACUCGGCGGGCGCGCCGCAUCCCGGGGCUGUCAACGCGCAGCUGGGGCACGCAGCGCCGCAUCCCGCCGCCUCGCCCCUUCCUUCGGCCACCCCCUCAGCCGCGGGAUGGAUGGCCGUAAACCAUUCUUUGUCUUCAACCACCUCACCUGCGGCACGGCCGGAGGUCUCCGGCAUCUGUAUUCCAGAGCUGUAGCACUUACUAAAAAAAAAAAAAACAACCCUAUCAACAGUUACCUGACCAACCCGCAGCUAUCCAUCUGGCUGGCAUACGGGCUCACACGUUUUGGCCACAACGCCGCACGAGCACACGCACCGAAGCGCUUCGGGACGCCGACGCGAGCAGGCUCUCUCCCCCACCCACACGCCCAGCCUCGGCAGAGCCGAGCCGCGACCCCACGACUCACCGGCUCGGGAGGCGGCGACGGCGACGGGCGGCGAGAGCGAGCAGCUGAGAGCGGCCAGGGCGCAGAGCAGCGCGGGCAGCCCCAUGGCCGUCGGUUCGCGGCGGUGUGUCUGUCCCGGCCGCGCUGGGAAAGCGAGUGAGGACCGGGCGGAGCCGGACCGCCCCUCCGCCGCUGCUGGGAGAGGCGGGGGCGCCUUCCUGCCGUGCGGGGGCGGGACGGGCCCCGGUUGGAGGGCUGAGCGGCGCCGGGUCCGCCGUCGGGCGGGGCAGUACAGGAAUUUCAACGGGAGGAAGCCUCUGUUCAGAACUGGAUCUGUUACAGGACAUUGUGACGUUACUGCAGAAACACUGAUACUUGACUGAGAAUAGCAAGGAUGGGAAGUCAACUCUUAGCAGCGAGUACUGACGCCCUGUCAGAUCCAGCGCUAAUCUCAUCUUGCUCUGCAGUGCGCUUCCCACUGUGGCCGUACUGCUGGCCGGCCCUUCGCCCACCAGGAAUCUCGUUUGUCUGACCUACUGCUACACAACUGGAGACACGUCCAAGAAGGAUCCAGAAGUGCCUACCCUUAGUGCCCUGAAGAUACUUUGGAUGGGGCAGCUUCACAGUAUUGCGUAGAGAUUUGCAUCUGGAAUUGAGAUCAGGUUUUGGAGCAAUGUGCUACGCAGUUAACUUUCAGUCAUAAGCUAGGGACAAGUAUCAAUUAAAGAACUUUCUGCAAAGAAA